rnacentral:tmRNA from 1 species
GGGGCUGUUUUGAUUCGACAGGGCAUUCAUAUAUAUGGACUCAGGUAGUAGGGAUACUAUAAAUCUAAGCAUAAAAUAAUCGGAAAAGAUUACAAUUUUGCACCUGCUUUUGCCUAGUUUAAGGUCGUAGGUGGUUCCUUCCUUUCUUUGUUCACGAGAAAGAACAAGGGACUCAUAAAAGUGAACUAUAUUAUACAUUUGUUUAGGAUGUAUGAUGAACUAUAACUAAACUUAGAAAAGUAUAGGAAUGCUUGGCUCUCCAGUGCUUUUUGAAAUAUAAACCAGCUAAACUUGUAAAAAGGUCUGUAUAAUAUGGUGUUUUGGACACGAGGUCGUUCCUCGUCAGCUCCACCA